UUGCGGCUUCGCUAACUGACCCCUCCUCACCUGUGGCACAUCUCUCGACUCCCUCCUCUUCUCCCUUCUCCUACCAAAUGACCGUUCUCUAACGCAUAAAUCAGGCGCCCCUCUUCCUCCUAUCGUCACACGCCUGUUGGCCCUCUCCCCUCUGUUCGUUGAAGGACACCGUCACCACCAACAGUGGCACCGCGAAUGGCACACGGGCCGGGCUGUUUGCCGUUGUGAGGGAAAGCACCGUGCACUUGAGUCUGCGGGUGAGCUCCUUUAGCUGCUGUUGUUUGACGCUUCCAGAUGUGUCGCUGCAAGGAGCCUGUCCGCGCAUCCCUUCCCCCGAGGUGAGGGCGGGGAAGUGCAGCAAAGACCGAAAGAGAGAGGCCUCGCCGCGUUGUAUUUGCGGCGUUGUGCCGUGAGAAGUUUUGUGACCGCUACCGUACGCGUUUUGAGCAUCUCACACCUUUUUCUCUCGAGGAGAAGGGGCGUUGGGCUCUUCCCCGCUUCCCUUUCGUCAUUUGUGGCGCUCGGCCUUUUCCUUGACGGAUGGACGUAAGGGAAAGACGGGACGUGCAACGCUGCCUGGACCUCUUCCCCUUUUUGUUGUUAUUCUCACUUUUGCGUGACCCCAGAAAAGGGGGGGGGGACACCCUCCGUGUGUGCGGCAUUUCAGGGUCCAGCACCUCCACUCGGCGUGGGAAGGAGCCAGGCAGUCCGCCUCCCCCUAUCCCCUGAUGAAUGCUGAACCAACUCUGAUAGUGGUAGAGUCAGGUGCCUACGAUGUGAGGAGGUGAGACCGAUGCAUCGCUACUGACGAUGUCGGUUGCCAGGUCACGGAUGGUGUGGCGUCGGAGCGGCCUGCAGCUGUGAGCACGCUUGUGCCACCCAUAUGGCGGGUGAAGCGUCCGUGCGACCCGAGCAUAUGCUACCCACCCACCGGGAGCCCUCGCUGUCUACUGGUUUGGGGUCCCUGAGCCAGCCUGAGGGGAUUGCACCGCGUGGUGACCGGCAAUGAUGGGGGAGGCUGCGCGGCGACCUGCGAGGCGGGUGGGCGGGUGGAGUUUGGGCCAGAGGCCGUGCUCGGAGGCCUGGGUCGGCGGAUGGCUGUACCGCGUGUCUGCCGCUGCUUCGCAAGACGCGACGCGAGCCUGUGACAGGACCGUGGGGUAGAGCUGAAGUGAGCGGGUGCAGUACGGCAGAGAAUGGGCACACGCCGGAGAAGGACAAUCUUCUGUGCUGCGUCAUUACUCGUUGUCGUGGUAUCUCUGUGGCCUCGACAGUAUCGCUUUUUGUGUCUGCUGUUUCGUUUUCACGGAUCUGUUCGCAUACGUCACGGCAUCACUGCGAUCCUUAUCCUGCUUCUCUUCCGCCUCUCUCCCGCACCCACACAGCUGCAGUGGUUUCAACGACUAAUGGCGCUCUGCGGCGGCAGCCGCAUCACGAGCAAGGCAGGGAAACACUAUCAACAGAAGAAGGUGCACGACUUCAAGUAUGGCGGCCCUGCGGUCAAGGGGGACUGCUACCCCCUCUUUGAAGACGGCCGAUGCUACCGGGUAGAGGUAGACAGGCACAAGUGGUUUCUCUACAACGACUCGCUGGACAUGGAGAUGCACGUCACCUUCACCUUUCAAAAAACGACGGCCGUGUACAAAACACAGCAUGGCCGGACGACGGUGAGGAAGACGCCCAACGGUGGGACGCAGUGCUCCGUCGUCGUCUACCCCUUGGAGACGCUGCCGUACGUGAAGUUCGCCAAGAAGACGCAGAUCUUGUAUAGCGCCGCGUGCAUGUCGCGCGACUUGGCCCCGGGUUACAUUGAGAAGAUUAACCGCGAGGCGAAGGCGAAGUGCAUGAACGAGACGCAAAAAGUAGCCGGCGUGGCUGGGGUGAGCCGCAGCGAGGAGGAAAUCCUGUACAAGUGCCGCAAGAGCAAGAUCCCUUACAUCGAUAUGCGCUUCCACCCAUCUGAGGCUGCUCUGAGGCGACCUCACGACAAGCAGAGCGUGUCAAACAUGCACGCCAUCACGUGGAAACGGCCGCAGGACUACAUACCGGCGAUAGCGCACAAGGAGAUCAAGCUGUUCCGCCACGGCGUGAGCGCUGCCGGCAUUGGGCAGGGUCACCUCGGCGACUGCUGGCUCAUGUGCUCGAUCGCGGUCGUGGCGGAGAGCAAGACGAUGGUGAAGGACAUUUUCCGCCACCCUGUCUCCCAGUCUCAGCGAAAGAAAGAGGAGCGGGCGGGCGGCUACCGCGUGUACAUCAAUAAGAACGGCUGGUUCCACAACGUCAUUGUGGACAGCUACCUGCCGACGUACAAUGGAGCCGUUUACUUUGCCCGCUCCGCCGGGGACCCGUACGAGUUGUGGGUGUCGCUGCUGGAGAAGGCGUACGCCAAGCUGCACGGCUCGUAUGCGUCCAUUGUCGGCGGCAAUCCUCUGCACGCCCUGCAGGAUUUGACGGGGUUUCCGGUGUACUCCUUCACAAGCGCGUGGAAGGCGGCGGCGAACGGGGAGGAGGCCGCAUCGCAGUUCUUCAAGGACCUGCUGCGCUACCGCAAGAAUGGCUACCUCAUCUCCAUCAGCACUCCAGGCACGCAGACGAGCUUGCACAACGCUGGUAGCGGGAACGCGAACGAGGCUUCACUUGAGGCGCGCUACAAGGCGGCGGGACUGAGCACCGGCCACUCCUACUCGGUGCUGAAGGUGCGCCAGUUUGUCAUCCCGCGAGUGAAGCUGCUGAAGAUCCGCAACCCGUGGGGAAGCGGUGACGAGUGGACCGGCGCAUGGGGCAAGAACAGCACCAAGUGGCAGAAGCACUCCUUGGUGCGUCGGUCGUGCAAGCCGAGCAAGGUGAGCGACGGCACCUUCUGGAUAGAGUGGAGGGACGCGGUUCAGUUCUUUGAGGGCGGCGGGGUCUGCAUGGUGAAGAAGGCCUGGUACCAGUAUCGCUUCCCUGGCCAGUUUAUUGGUAUCAUUCCGUCCGUGGUGCUCAAGAUCGAGCUCAAAAAGCAGCAGAAGAUGCUCUUCACCCUGUCUCAGAAGGACCGCCGCUUGCGGAGCCCCGACGACCCGGAUCAGCUGUACAAGGGGCUGCUUAUCUCCGUCACGGGGCACAACAUGGAGAAGGGCAUGCAGCAGAUUGUGGCCCUCAGCACCGAUAACCCCGAGGUGCAUCCACCAGAGAAGUACGAGUACAUGCUUGCCCGUGACGUUGGCCUCGAGCUCGAGCUCGACCCCGCACAAGGGCCGUUCUACGUCAUUCCGCGCAUCAUGGCGACGAACCAAAACGGCCCGAUGGACUUCACCCUGGGCAUGCUAACGCCCAGCAAGUCAACCGCGAGGGGCCUGAGGGUGUCCUUUGUGCACCUGCCCGACACGUGCCCGACGUUCCGCAACUUGGCAUCUUUCCACGUGAACGGGGAGGUAGCGACACAUGUGCAGUUUCAGUACAAGAAGCGCGGCGGUGCACCCCGCGUAAAGGCCGGCAUCACCGUCUUCGAGGCCACCAACGUGAAGCAGACGUACCCCUUCCAAUAAUAAAAGGGUCUGCAAGUGCGGCGCGCGCUCACGGCAAGCGGUCCGCGUUUGUGUGCUGGACGCUUUCGUGGUUUGUACCCGUGCGCGUUGAGGCAUUGCGUGUGAGGCACUUGAGCUUCAGCCUCGCUGGAUGACUACCCACAAAAUCAGGUACCGGCACCUUUCCAC
rnacentral:misc_RNA from 1 species